GACGAACGCUGGCGGCGUGCUUAACACAUGCAAGUCGAACGGAAAGGCCCUGCUUUCGUGGGGUGCUCGAGUGGCGAACGGGUGAGUAACACGUGAGUAACCUGCCCUUGACUUUGGGAUAACUUCAGGAAACUGGGGCUAAUACCGGAUAGGAGCUCCUGCUGCAUGGUGGGGGUUGGAAAGUUUCGGCGGUUGGGGAUGGACUCUCGGCUUACUAGCUGGUGGGUGGGGUAGUGGCUUACGAAGCCUUUGAUGGGUGGCCGGCGUGGGAGGUUAACCAGCCACAUUGGGACUGAGGGACGGACCAGACUCCUACGGGAGGCAGCAGUGGAGAAUAUUGCACAGUGGGCGGGAGCCUGAUGCAGCAACGCCGCGUGCGGGAUGACGGCCUUCGGGUUGUAAACCGCUUUCGCCUGUGACGAAGCGUGAGUGACGGUAAUGGGUAAAGAAGCACCGGCUAACUACGUG
rnacentral:rRNA from 1 species